CGCGUCACGUUUCUGUCAGACGCACCUGUUAGCGUCUAGUAGUCAAGACGAUACGCAGGUAUUAUUUUUCUGAACCUGCUGCGAUACGACAGAGAGAAAACGCAGAAUUUGGGCUUCGAACGUCAAGGUAAGAUUGUUUAUUUUGAGUUGAUGGGAUUUAUUAACGUGAGUCACAAAAUUGCAUCAAGUCAGUUUUCUAUGAGUUAAUUAGAAAGAGUAUCAAUAUCUCUAACGAUCUGUUAUUUGUCAGGUGUCAUGGGGUCAUGGAUGCUGGUUCUGUGUACCACAGUCACUCUGAUGCCUGUGUGUCUUCAUGGAGCAAUAUCAGUCCGCUUUAAGACCGGACGGCCUCUCUAUGUGGCACUCGGCCGAACUCUUGUUUUGGAAGUCGAAUUCAAGAAGGACUCGGACGACAAAAUAGACAUGGUGACGUGGGACCGCGAGAGAGGAAAUGACAAUGUCAGACUGUCACGUGGAAACAGAAUAUCUUUGGAGAACGGAGAUGCACUUCUGCGGGUCACUGAUGUUGCAGAAGGGGACCUUGCGAUCUACAAAGUCACCGUUACAGACAGUAACGGAUACCAGCAGCACGACUCCAUAGAAGUACGAAAGACAGUGGAAUCUCCAAAGGCGUCAAUAACACGUGUGCUGGAGUGCGUUGUGGAUAAUCACGGCAUGACGCAGUGGGACAGCCCUCAGUUUUCUUGGCUGGUUGAUGGUGUUACAGUAACCAAUCAAAGCGCUCUGUUAGCAGAUGGCAGUAGACUAGACAUCUCUAAAAUUAAGGGCGUUAACUACACCUGCAUCAUCAAGAGCAGCCUGGGGACGGUGACUACACAUCAUCAAAUACCAGAAGAAUCGUCAGCGUCUUGGCCCUGUUGUGCAGCACUGAUUGCAGUUGUAGUUUUAACAGCAGUAAUAAUAACACUUGUGGCUGGGUAA
rnacentral:lncRNA from 1 species